AGUUUGAUCCUGGUCAGAUUGAACGCUGGAGGGAUGCUUACAUGCAAGUCGAACGGCAGCACGGACUUCGGUCUGGCGAGUGGCGAACGGGUGAGUAAUGUAUCGGAACGUGCCUAGUAGCGGGGAUAAUCCAGCGAAAGGUAGCGCUAAUACCGCAUACGCCCUUCGGGGGGAAAGCGGGGGACCUUUCGGGCCUCGCACUAUUAGAAUGGGCCGAUGUCGGUUUAGCUAGUUGGUGGGGUAACGGCUCACCAAGGCGACGAUCCGUAGCUGGUUUGAGAGGACGACCAGCCACACUGGGACUGGAGACACGGCCCAGACUCCUACGGGAGGCAGCAGUGGGGAAUUUUGGACAAUGGGGGAAACCCUGAUCCAGCCAUCCCGCGUGUGCGAUGAAGGCCUUCGUGGCCAAAGCACUUUUGGCAGAAGAAACGCACGGGAUAAUACCCCGUGCAACUGACGGUACCAAGAAUAAGCACCGGCUAAUCACGUGCCAGCAGCCGCGGUAAUACGUAUAGGUGCAAGCGUUAAUCGGAAUUACUGGGCGUAAAGCGUGCGCAGCGGUUCGGAAAGAAAGAUGUGAAAUCCCAGAGCUUAACGGAACUGCAUUUCUUAACUACCGAGCUAGAGUGUGUGUCAGGAGGGAGGUGGAAUUCCGCGUGUAGCAGUGAUAAAAUGCGUAGAUAUGCGGAGGAACAAUUUACGGCGAAGGCAGCCUCCUGGGAUAACACUGACGCUCAUGCACGAAAGCGUGGGGAGCAAACAGGAUUAGAUACCUGGCAGUCCACGCCUAAACGAUGUCAACUAGCUGUUGGGGCCUUCGGGCCUUGGUAGCGCAACUAACGCGUGAAGUUGACCGCCUGGGGAGUACGGUCGCAAGAUUAAAACUCAAAGGAAUUGGAUGACCCGCACAAGCGGUGGAUGAUGUAGAUUAAUUCGAUGCAACGCGAAAAACCUUACCUACCCUUGACACGUCUGGAAUCCCGAAGAGAUCAGAGUGCUCGCAAGAGAACCGGAACACAGGUGCUGCAUGGCUGUCGCCGCUCGCCGUGAGAUGUUGGGUUAAGUUCCGCAACGAGCGCAACCCUUGCCACAGUUAAGCAUGAAAGGGCCAAUUUCAAUGAGACUGCCGGUGACAAACCGGAGGAAGGUGGGGAUGACGUCAAGUCCUCAUGGCCCUUAUGGGUAGGGCUUCACACGUCAUACAAUGGUCGGGACAGAGGGUCGCUAACCCGCGAGGGGAGCCAAUCCCAGAAACCUGAUCGGGGUCCGGAUCGCAGUCUGCAACCGACUGCGAAGUCGCAAUCGCUAGUAAUCGCGGAUCAGCAUGUCGCGGUGAAUACGUUCCCGGGUCUGCACACACCGCCCGUCACACCAUGGGAGUGGGUUUACCUAGGAAGUAGUUAGCCCAACCGGGUAAGGAGGGCGCGAUUACCACGGUAGGAUUCAUGACUGGGGUAAGUCGUAACAAGGUAA
rnacentral:rRNA from 1 species